UACGUAGGGAGCAAGCGUUGUUCGGAAUUACUGGGCGUAAAGGGCUCGUAGGCGGCCAACUAAGUCCGACGUGAAAUCCCAAAGCUUAACUUUGGAACUGCGUCGGAUACUGGAUGGCUUGAAUUCGGGAGAGGGAUGCAGAAUUCCAGGUGUAGCGGUGAAAUGCGUAGAUAUCUGGAGGAAUACCGGUGGCGAAGGCGGAAACCUGGAACGGCAUUGACGCUGAGGAGCGAAAGCUAGGGGAGCAAACGGG
rnacentral:rRNA from 1 species